GCCAUUUUCUCUCCCAUCCAUGGCGUCUAGCUCAUCCGCGCGACACCUCCUCUAUGUGACCACUUCCUCCAUACAACCACUUCGCUACGACUAACAUAAACGACGGAGGUGAGAAGAUUGCAAACGGUCAUGAUCGGGGAACGGGCGUCAGUGCGGCGAAACUCUCGUAUCGGCCAUCUGCUCCUGCUCAUCAGAGAAUAAAGAAGAGCCCUCUUAGCUCCAACUUAAUCUUCAAACAGGUAAGGUCCAGCUGCUGCUGCUUUAUCCGCUUUUUACUUAAAAAGCAUAUAUUGUUGAUCAGAGAUUAGGUUGCCUAGGUUAAAAUCAGUAAUUUUUUCCUUUUCAACUUUGAGGCGAGUAAAGUAUAAUAUAACCAGAGUUGUGUUUGGAAUAAACGACUGAGUUUUCUUUCAUCGAAUUUGGUCCAUGUUUUUUGGUAAUUAAAUAGUGUGAAUGUAAAUCGCUCUUUUACUCAGUAAUUGAUUUAUUUUAACUGAUAUUGCCUAUUUAACUUCUAUUCUACGGUGGUUUGAUUUUCAUGUGGUGGAGUUACACUAGGCAAUGUUUAGAUCGAUACAAAAUUAGCUUAAGGAUGUAAACUAAGUGACAUGACAUUCUCGAAGAGGAUCCAGAAGAUCAGUAGGUGCAAUGAUCUGCAAGAUGACAUACAGUUAAAAGUGUUUAGAAAUUAAUAAAACUAGAACCAAUAAGAAAUGUUUGUUAGGUUAUCCUUCACAUAGAAGCAAAUUUCUUUUGGGUUUUGUGGCGCCACCAUUUUGAGAAUUUCACAAAACUGUGUACUGUUCUUGCUGCUUGUUCAUGGUCCUGUUCUCCAAGUGCUUGUGCAGGAAUGCAAAUGUUGUUAUAAAUUAUCAUAAUGGAGCAGGAACUUGACAGAAUAUCCACAUUGCCCAAACCUAUUCUGCAGCACAUUCUCUCAUUCAUUCCUUUUAAGCAAAUAGCUCAAUGUAGUCUAGUGUCCAAGACAUGGAACAUGGCCUGGAUUUCAUUCCCAUUUCUGAAAUUUGACAGAGAAUUGUUUCAUAUCGUAGAACCCAAGCAACAAAAAAUCAAGGAAUUAUAUUAUUUUGUUGAGAGAAUUUUACUCAGCCGCCAUAGGCAAGAGCUAUAUAUACAAAAGUUUGAACUUUACAAACCUUACAUCAACAAGAACUCUUGGCUCUUGUGAACAGUUGCAUUGGCUAUGUGAUCGAGCUUAAUGUCAAAGAGUUGAACCUUUACAUUGAAUCAGGUGAAUGAUCAUUGGAGUUAGAUGGUGAAGCUUUUGCAUUAUGGAUGAGUUUUGUGGAGUUAGAUGGUGAAGUUUGUUACAAUGAAGAAGGAUGUAUAUUGUGGAGUUUAUGUAACUUAUUGUGGGACUUGUAAUUAUUGUGGAUAAGAGAAAAAAAUUAAGUUUUUUAUUUUGUAUUUGCUCAAAUUUUACAGCCCUAUAAGAUCCUUCUUUACCUUUGUUUAA